UGCCCGAACAACCCUAGUACCAUCUAACAUCCACAUAUCGCCGCCACCUCUCCUCUAGGACCGACAAAGUCCGCCGGUCCUAACCUCCUGACCCCGCCUUGCCGUGGGCGCUGGCGUUGGGGAGAUCUGCUCCGUUGUUAUUCCUCCACAGCAUCCACCUAGCACGACGGUUCGAUGAGCAGGGUCGUCACCGGAUCCGGCGAAUCCAAGAAUGACCGCCACCGGAUCUGGUGAGUCAUGAAGCCCACGACCAUAUGCGUCCACCCCCGAGAUUUCAAACCAGUUAAAUUGAGAGGUUGAUCCUUUUAAAUGCAUGCCUGUACGUGUGUGAAAUGGGAGACUUGCCUCUGUCCCAAUCGUAUGAUUAAAGCGAGUGGCAUGGCUAAAAUCAUGUGGGUGGGCUCCAGCUAUUUAAAUACAGUGGCUUCAAUGAAGAAAACGGUGAAAUACAGAGAUACAACAAACGACAGGUUUUGAGUUGGCAGGAUUCUAUUGGUUGGUCAAUCACAGCUAGUUGCCGGCUCUGGUAAAAACAACUUUGCGUGUCAUGGAUCCUGAUGUCGUCGCUAUCUCUCAAGAGUCAAACUCCUCAUCUGACGCCAUCUGGCUCACGGGAGGUGCAAAAGGCAUACCUAUCAGCCAUCUUGCAAUGAUGGGAGAUUGAGAUCCAAGAACAAAUAUGGAGGACAUGGAGUACCACUACACAAGGUGCGUCUGUGAAGAUUGAUUUCGGAAAGGCAUUCAAGUACUCAAUGAGGUAAACCAAAAAGGAUCUUCCAUUUUGAUGCACCCCGAGGUAUGCACAUAUGAACUCUUGAAACAAUGGAAAAAUGAAAUAAGAGAAAAUUUAUUGGGCACAUCCUUCAGCACACCAUCAAUCCAUCAAUAUAAUUUGUUCAACCAUGAUGGAAAAACAAUGGAUUUGGGAAACUUGAGAUCUACACAAAAAUGUUCAACUUUUUCUUUCCCUAGUUAUUUUCUAGUGUCCUUGUGCUAUAGUUUUGUAGACCGAGUAAAGUUGAGGAUGACUUUUCUCCAAGAGAAGGAGGAUGAUAUGGACAUGCUCAUGGUUGGUUAUAAAUUUGUGCGCCAUGGAAAUGUUUGCUGGAAGGAACUCCUAAGUCAAACAAAAUAUCAUGUUGGCAUCAUCCAUAAGAUACCAAACUUGAAAACUAAAAAUCUCUAUAUCAUGAAACCUUUGCAUUAUGAGUUGGUAUUGCCCUGCUUUCCUUUGUGUGAUGACCAGGUAGAGUCGAUGAUGACUCUUUUUCAAGAGAGGGGGGAUGAUGAGGACAUCUCAAUUAAUGAAACAACAUCGAUCAUCCCUGGACAAACUUCAAGUGUGAUAAACAAAUGCAUGAUCAGAUGCAACACAAUUCUAAGGUGAAAGCUACAAAUGAGGAUUGCAUUAUUACUUUGCAUGAAUAUUAUCUACUUCCCUUCUACUUAUAUUUUGUAGAUCAACGAGAUUCAAGGACGACACUUCAUCAAGGGAGGGAGGAUGAUUAGCACAUGGGUACAUCAUACACGACUUUUUAGAAAUGUGCAAAAUUUAGGUAGAAAGAAUUACUAAGCCGAAUCAUGCAAACACAUGCCCAGGUGAACGCUAACUUAAGUUCAUACUAUAAUCUUGAAUACAUGGCUGCAAUUUCAUAUCCAUUGUUGUUGGUUGAACUUAGGUAUCACAUGGAAGAAAUCCAAUAAUCUAUGAGCUCUUGAAGCAACCGGUUUGGAGGAACAAGUUUGGAGAUAACAAGUUUCAAGUGAAGCUGAUGCUAUCAGUUUUUUACCUCUGAUGUCUUGUUGUGCCACACCCAUGUGGUGGAGAGAUAGGGCCAUAGGGGUACAUUACCACAAGCUACAUCAAAUUAUAU